rnacentral:rRNA from 1 species
CCUACGGGAGGCAGCAGUGAGGAAUAUUGGUCAAUGGACGAGAGUCUGAACCAGCCAAGUAGCGUGAAGGAUGACUGCCCUAUGGGUUGUAAACUUCUUUUAUAUGGGAAUAAAAUGUUCCACGUGUGGGAUUUUGUAUGUACCAUAUGAAUAAGGAUCGGCUAACUCGGUGCCAGCAGCCGCGGUAAUACGGAGGAUCCGAGCGUUAUCCGGAUUUAUUGGGGUUAAAGGGAGCGUAGGUGGAUUGUUAAGUCAGUUGUGAAAGUUUGCGGCUCAACCGUAAAAUUGCAGUUGAAACUGGCAGUCUUGAGUACAGUAGAGGUGGGCGGAAUUCGUGGUGUAGCGGUGAAAUGCUUAGAUAUCACGAAGAACUCCGAUUGCGAAGGCAGUUCACUGGACUGCAACUGACGCUGAGGCUCGAAAGUGUGGGUAUCAAACAGGAUUAGAUACCCUUGUAGUC